UACAGAGGGGGCAAGCGUUGUUCGGAAUUACUGGGCGUAAAGGGCGCGUAGGCGGCCUGCUAAGUCGAACGUGAAAUCCCCGGGCUCAACCCGGGAACUGCGUCCGAUACUGGCAGGCUUGAAUUCGGGAGAGGGAUGCGGAAUUCCAGGUGUAGCGGUGAAAUGCGCAGAUAUCAGGAGGAACACCGAUGGCGAAGGCAGGUCACUGGGCCGCAACUGACGCUGAGGAGCGAAAGCAUGGGGAGCGAACAGG
rnacentral:rRNA from 1 species